rnacentral:rRNA from 1 species
UAGGGAAUCUUCGGCAAUGGGGGGAACCCUGACCGAGCAACGCCGCGUGAGUGAAGAAGGUUUUCGGAUCGUAAAGCUCUGUUGUUAAGGAAGAACGAGUGUGAGAAUGGAAAGUUCAUGCUGUGACGGUACUUAACCAGAAAGGGACGGCUAACUACGUGCCAGCAGCCGCGGUAAUACGUAGGUGGCAAGCGUUGUCCGGAUUUAUUGGGCGUAAAGCGAGCGCAGGCGGUCAAGUAAGUCUGAUGUGAAAGCCCCCGGCUCAACCGGGGAGGGUCAUUGGAAACUGGUUGACUUGAGUGCAGAAGGGGAGAGUGGAAUUCCAUGUGUAGCGGUGAAAUGCGUAGAUAUAUGGAGGAACACCGGUGGCGAAAGCGGCUCUCUGGUCUGUAACUGACGCUGAGGCUCGAAAGCGUGGGGAGCGAACAGG